rnacentral:ncRNA from 2 species
GGUCAUGAGCGCCAGCGCGAAGCCCCGGCUCGCUGGCCGGCAACCCUCCUCCGCGGUGGGGUGCCCCGGGUGACGACCAGGCCGAGCACCGACCGGUGCCGGCAAGCGCGGGAU